UUCUGCCUGCUUCCGGACGAGCAAGAAGACUUGUGCUCCGGUUCUCGGACUUCCCCAGCAGCAUGGCCCCCAAACACCAGUCUCCACUCCCGCCUCAAAAGAAGAAACCAAGACCACCUCCUGCUCAGGGACUGGAUGAGACAUCGGCCUCUGCAGGCUUGCCGAAGAAGGGAGAAAAAGAACAGCAAGAAGCAAUUGAACACAUUGAUGAAGUACAAAAUGAAAUAGACAGACUUAAUGAACAAGCCAGUGAGGAGAUUUUUGAAAGUAGAACAGAAAUAUAACAAACUCCGCCAACCAUUUUUUCAGAAGAGGUCAGAAUUGAUCGCCAAAAUCCCAAAUUUUUGGGUAACAACAUUUGUCAACCAUCCACAAGUGUCUGCACUGCUUGGGGAGGAGGACGAAGAGGCACUGCAUUAUUUGACCAGAGUUGAAGUGACAGAAUUUGAAGAUAUUAAAUCAGGUUACAGAAUAGAUUUUUAUUUUGAUGAAAAUCCUUACUUUGAAAAUAAAGUUCUCUCCAAAGAAUUUCAUCUGAAUGAGAGUGGUGAUCCAUCUUCAAAGUCCACUGAAAUCAAAUGCAAAUCUGGAAAGGAUUUGACGAAACGUUCAAGUCAAACGCAGAAUAAAGCCAGCAGGAAGAGGCAGCAUGAGGAACCAGAGAGCUUCUUUACCUGGUUUACUGACCAUUCUGAUGCAGGUGCUGAUGAAUUAGGAGAGGUCAUCAAAGAUGAUAUUUGGCCAAACCCAUUACAAUACUACUUGGUUCCUGAUAUGGAUGAUGAAGAAGGAGAAGGAAAAGAAGAUGAUGAUGAUGAUGAAGAGGAGGAAGGAUUAGAAGACAUUGAUGAAGAAGGGGAUGAGGAUGAAGGUGAAGAAGAUGAAGAUGAUGAUGAAGGGGAGGAAGGAGAGGAGGAUGAAGGAGAAGAUGACUAAUAGAACACUGAUGGAUUCCAACCUUCCUUUUUUUAAAUUUUCUCCAGUCCCUGGGAGCAAGUUGCAGUCUUUUUUUUUUUUUUCCUUCCCUCUUGUGCUCAGUCACCCUGUUUUUGAGGUCUCUUUUCUCUACACCAUGGUUCUCAACUUAUUUUGGGGGGAAAUAUCUUGAGCAGGAUACAAUGGGA